UCUACCUGGUUUGGGCCUUCUGGUCCGUGAGGCCAAUUUGCUUGUUAUUAGUUCUCAGCCUGUGGGUCUCCAUCCCUUUGGGGGUUGAAUGACCCUUUCACAGGGGUCACCUAAGACCAUGGAAAACACAGAUAUUUACACUGUGAUUCCUAACAGUAGCAGAAUGGCAGUCACGGAGCAGUAAUGAGAUAAUUUUGUGGUUGGAGAUCACCACAUGAGGAACUGUAUUAAAGGAGGCUUGGGAACCACUGGAUUGAGUGAUCCUGAGGAAAGGCCGUUUCCAUUCCAGCUCUAGAGCCCACACUGUGGCAUCGGCUUUGGUGUUAUUUUCCUGGGAGGUGAUUAUGCCCUCAGAGGAAGAGCUAACUGAAACUCUGAUAAGUGCUUGUGAGUCACUCCCUGGCCUCUGAAGCUUCUAGCCUGAGUUUCAGAGGGUGAGUCCAUUAUCGUCAUGGAGCGGAGUAUGGCAACAAGCAGGUGCUGGAGCAGGAGCUGAGACCUUCAGUGUUGAGACAACAACCAUGAGACACUCAUCUCAGUCCACUGCUUGUGACAGCCACACAAGACACUUUAAGGCAGCAUCAGAAAGCAGCAAAAUGGCCAUUCCUAGGAGAAGGU